UCCCAGAUACUUCAUGGUGGACUCGACAGC
rnacentral:sRNA from 1 species